UUAAAAUUUGAAACUGAUUAGACUAUUCAAAAAAUAAAAUAAAUUUUUUUUUUCAUUCAAAUUUGCACUAAAAAUUACAAUUUAAAUUCCUAUUUUAAUCUAUAAAUUUUAAUUUAAAAUCUAUAUAAAAUUUAAUAUUUAAUAUUUAAAAAAUAUAUUUUAAAUUAAAUUUUAUAUAUCAAAUUCAGAAUGUUUGAUAAAGUUUUAUUUUUUUUUAAGUUCAAAUUAGAAU
rnacentral:lncRNA from 1 species